rnacentral:lncRNA from 1 species
AAGUAAUAUAUUUGUAAUUUUUUCAUUUAUUGUAAAAAGUAGAAUGCAUAUAUAUGAAAUAAAUGAAUGUAAAAUAUAUAAUUUUAUAUUUUGCAUUACAACUAUUUUUCUCUUUGAAAAGACUUUCUUAUACAACAAUACAACAAAAGUAUAUAUAUACAGAACACUAACCAGACCUGUUGUGUUAUAUGGAGCAUCACCAAAGUGGAAGAUCAGCUGCAAUACUUUUGAGAAUAAAAUAUUACAAAAAGUUUUUGGUCCUACUAAAGAUAUUAUGACAUGUGAAUGGAGAAAACAAAUAAAGAACUAUAUAUACUCUAUGGAAAUCCGCUAAUUAUAGAUGA